GACGAACCGUGCGAACGUUAUUCGGAAUCACUGGGCUUAAAGGGCGCGUAGGCGGGCAGGCAAGUCGAAGGUGAAAUCCCACGGCUCAACCGUGGAAGUGCCCCCGAUACUGCCUGUCUGGAGGGGGAUAGGGGCGUGCGGAACUUCCGGUGGAGCGGUGAAAUGCGUAGAUAUCGGAAGGAACACCGGUGGCGAAAGCGGCGCGCUGGAUCCCUACUGACGCUGAGGCGCGAAAGCCAGGGGAGCGAACGGG
rnacentral:rRNA from 1 species